rnacentral:rRNA from 1 species
GUCGAGGGCCAUACCCCCCUGAACAUACCAGUCUUAUCUGAUCGUGGAAGCUAAGCGAGGUUGGGCCUGGUUAGUACUUGGAAAGAAGUGCAAUAUCAUGACAGUGUCAUCC